rnacentral:lncRNA from 1 species
UAAUACCGUGUAUAAUCUUGUACGUACUUUAUACGUUCAUACACAGAUAGGUAUACCUAUACGUAUGCAUUACAUACCGUGUACGUAUAUACCAUCUACGUGUGUAUAAUGUGUACACAUAUAUAUUUAUAUACUGUACGCUAUAUAUACUGAGUAGCUUGGCAACAAGCAGUUGCCGCACGGGGCAAGGUCGCCCCCCACUUUUUACCCCCUCCGCCCCUUGAUUCCCCUUACGCCCCUGUGCUACCAAGUCGCUGUUUUAUCCUAAGCAAUAUUUAUUACAACACCGUUUUAUAUACAUGUAUAUAAAUAUAUAUGUAUAUAUAUACUAUGUACGGAGAUAUAUACGUGUCUAAAUACAUAUGUAUUAUACAUUUCAUAUAGCUAACCCGACCCAGAGCGAUGGCUAAGAGAGCCCCUUGGUCGCAGAAUCUAAGAAUAAUUUCAGAUUUUUCACCGAUAUUUAUUUACUAAUUUAUUUAUUGGCAUUAACGUACUAGAGACGGCUUAUCAAACAACCAUAAGCUCAUCUCACAGCCCGACAAACUUAUGAAAUGACAAAAUAAUCUAAAACAUAUCGAUUAUUCAGAGGAUAAGUUGAAUUUACUGAAAGGGGAGUUACGGUCGAAAAUAAGAUUCGUGUCAACCGGGCACGGGUUGUGAAAUGCACCUUUCUUCUCGGAAAAUAAACCUCCAAAAACACCUCUCCUUACUUUCUUGGUGGUUAAUUUUACUUGUAGAGGUGUGUAGUAAUCCAAUACAAUAUGUUGAAUUCUCAGGCUAUUUUACAUUUAGCAAAGAGGUAACAGACUAAAUCAAACUCGCUUGGCUAGGUGCGCUUCUUUUGUGUCGUCCUUACAAGUUUUUCGAUGAACGGAUGGAACCGACCAUUCUGUUGGUAAAAAUGAGAAUGGAACUCGGAAACGUUAUCCGAUCGAUGGAGCGAGGAUGGAUAGAUGGAUAAAACGUUAGUAGAAGGGGGAUUGCUUUUUUUAUUUUUUGCUUUCUGUUUGUGAUUUUUUUUUCUUUUUUUCUUGUAAUACGUAACGCUGUAUAAUUGAUACUCUAUUCGUUUCAUAUUUUUUUUUUGUUUUCUUUAACCGACGUUACAUUUAUUUUUAGCAAUGUUGAGAGAAGUGAUGACGGAAUUAACUGUAAAAUUGAUACUACAGAGUAUUAAAAUCCCACGUUUUAUCGUAGAUUGAUUAGCACCGGCUGCAGUACAAGAUAAAACUUUUAUUUUUCCUUGAAAAUCGAGAAACGAAAAGUCAAGCAAAAGAAGAAUAAUAAAUAAACCGAAGUCGCAAAAACGCUUCGUACAGUUGUGGGGGGAUUUGCAAUUCUACUAACGGAUUCGAUCGACAGUCUGUUGGAUCGCGUUGGAGACGAGUCAUCGCUAAAAAUACGGAUUUUCAAGACCCCAGUUUGCGACCCAGAGAAAACUUUUUCUCCUUCAAAUUUGAAGGGCCCCUUGAAUCGGAGAUCGCAGUAACCAAGAAAUUACAGUAUGAGUAACAGAAAAAGA